GUGUUGGCAGCACAGAUACUAAAAUUGGAUUAAUACAGAGAAGAUUAGCAUGGUUGCUGCACAAGGAUAAUGCACAAAUUUGUGAAGCAUUCCUUAUUUUC
ensembl:snRNA U6 U6 spliceosomal RNA